GACGAACGCUGGCGGCGUGCUUAACACAUGCAAGUCGAACGGAAAGGCCCUGCUUUUGUGGGGUGCUCGAGUGGCGAACGGGGGAGUAACACGUGAGUAACCGGCCCUUGACUUUGGGAUAACUUCAGGAAACUGGGGCUAAUACCAGAUAGGAGCUCCUGCUGCAGGGAGGGGGUUGGAAAGUUUCGGCGGUUGUGGAUGGACUCGCGGCUUAUCAGCUUGUUGGUGGGGGAGUGGCUGACCAAGGGUUGGACUGGUAGCCGGCCUGAGAGGGUGGCCGGCGACCAGAGUACUGCGGGACGGACCAGACUCCUACGGUAGGCAGCGGGGGGGAAUAUUGUCCAAUGGGCGGAAGCCUGAUGCAGCGGCGCCGCGUUCGUGAUGACGGUUUUCGGGUUGUAAACCGCUUUCGCCUGUGACGAAGCGUGAGUGACGGUAAUGGGUAAAGAAGCACCGGCUAACUACGUG
rnacentral:rRNA from 1 species